AGCAAGCUAGUUCUCAACUGUGUUUAUUUAAGAAAUCUCUAUACUUAAAAGCCCCCAAGGCAGCAUACAAAAUCAAUAAAUAAAAUAGCCCAUUCAAUACAUGCAGGCCACACUCUCAAGCAUUCAAGUACAGGAUGGGGAAGGGCACGUCUGCAAAGAUGCCACACAACCACCCCACCCCAUAUGUGUUCAUUGAACAUGUGGGUAGCAGCUGCAAGAUAUAUAAAAACAGCUCAUAUAAAAUACCAGCGAUAUAUACAAACAAAGGGAGCUGACUCACAAUAACAAUCAUGAAUACCAUUUACACAUGGGAAGAUGGAAUUGGCCUGGCGUCUAAAAAAUAGCAAUGAUGACAAAAGGCAAACAUUUACACAGAGCUCCAUAGUUGCAGUGGCCACCACUGAAAAUUCGGCUCGACAGAACCCACUUGCCUAACCUCCAAAAGGUCUGUUGUGCACAGAUCUCUGUCGAUGGUCAGGUUGCAUUGGAGACCACAGUCUUAUAAGAUGCUAGGCUGUUUCAUUAUCCAGGUCUUGCCCUAUAUAAAGCUUUAAACAUUUAAGCCAGUCAACAGCCUGGUGGCUUCAUCCUGCAUCAACUGAAGUUUCUAGGCACUUUCCAGAUCCACCUGUAUCCAGAUAGCUGCACUCCUAGUGGAGAUAGAAUCAUAGAAUCAUAGAGUUGGAAGAGACCACAAGGGCCAUCGAGUCCAACCCCCUGCCAAGCAGGAAACACCAUCAGAGCACUCCUGACAUAUGGUUGUCAAGCCUCUGCUUAAAGACCUCCAAAGAAGGAGACUCCACCACACUCCUUGGCAGGAGCCAAGAUGUCAGGAGCCAAGAUGUCAGGAGCCAGGCUAGCUUGGCUGUGUAAUGUCAUAGAAUCAUAGAAUUGUAGAGUUGGAAGGGUCCCUGAGGAUAUCAAGUCCAACUGCCUGUGAUGUAGGAAUAUGCAGCUGCCCCAUAUGGGGAUCAAACCUGCAACCUUGGUGUCAUCAUCACCAUGCUCUAACCACCUGAGCUAUCCAGGCAGGGGCAAGGUCAGUGGUGUGGGGCUUCAUUCCUCUUCUCAGUUUAAUCUGAGUGCAGCUUUGCACAGGCACUUGGACUCAAGCGCUUUAAGGGGGAUAGACCGUUGCAUAGCAUCCGAAUCCCAAGCAAUCAUCAAAUGUUGUGCACCAGUGAGCCAAAGCUCUCCAGCCUUCCACGCAGUUUCCAUCAGUCCAAGAAGUGCAUUUAGCAUCAUUUGUACCAAGGCGUGACCCUUUUAAAGAGAUACCUUGCGUUACUCACCAGCAUCUCCCUAAAGUGAUCCCCCAUUAAGAAGUAAAAGAUGGGGUUAAUUACACUGUUCAAAAAGGCAAUGGGCCUUGUAACAGUAUAAAUCAUACUGAUAAGGUCCUUGCCGCAUGAGGGAUGCUUCCAGGACUGCAUCCGGGAGGCGAUCCUAACAUUGCGCAUGAUGUGAUAGGGAAUAAAGAGCAGAGAAAAGAUGGCCACAGCCAUGACGAUCAAGGUGAGAGGUUUCUCUAGAGUCAGGGCAGCAGUGAGCUCUGCGCUGCGGCUUUUGAUGAAGGCAUGUGUUUUCCUGUAAAAAGAGCACAUGGCGCACAAUGGGAUUAUGAAGCCAGUCACUGUCAGUAUCAUACUAUAGAUUAGGCUGUCUUUUGCAACUCCGGAGCUUGCAUAAUCCACGCAUAGGCUACCAUUGCUAUUAUUUUUCUGGUCGUUGAGGAAAGUGAACAUGGGCGUCAGUUCCAAUGUGACCACGACCCAUAUGGCAAUUGAUAAAACAAUAGCCGUGCUUUUCUUCUGCAGAAAGUGAUUUCUGAAGGGAUACUUCAUGAGCAGGUAUCUGUCCAUGCUGAUAACGGUCAGGAAGAGGAUGCUUGUAUAUAAGUUGACGUGCAGCAGAAACCUGUUGGCUUGACACCAGUCUUUCCCAUAGGACCAAUUCCCUUGAGAGUAACUUGACACCAGCAACGGGAGUGUGCAAAGGAAUGAAAAAUCCGACAGCGACAAGUUGAACAGGUAGAUGUUGCCGCUUCUCCAGGUUUUGAGGCAGAAGAUGUACCCAAAAACAACAACGCUGUUGCCAAUGAUGCCAAAUAUGAACUCCAACGUGUACAUGGUGGAAAGGUAAUAUCUUUCCAGGGAUUUCUCUCUAUCCCAGCAUUCUCUGAUGUCACCUCCAUCCUGGAAAUGUAAAACAAAUGUCAAUUUGGUUUUUGGUUUUUUAAAAAAGCAUUUACUUAUUGCUUAGCUUACACAGCCAAUGUGAUUAUUGCCUUGUCAUAUUCCUGCACUUUCAGUCAUGCCAAAUGUUAGAUAAACACUUCAAGCUAUUCAGUCCCUCUUCUUGCAUAAAACAAAUUUCAUUGCAAAACUCUUCUCAAGAAAAAUGAGGCGCUGCCGUCUUGACAAGGUGGGGACAAUGAACUUGAAUAUGAUUAUCUUUGUAUUUGGUGUGUGUUUCAACAGGAGAGAGAGAGACUUUUUUAAAAAAGGGGUGGGUGGGAGAUCACUUUCUUAGUGAUCUUGAGUUUUCUAUGCUUCUUUCUUAAGAGUCUCUGGGAUCUGAAAUACUGCCAUAGCAGGCUGGGAGGCUGAGGAAGUUCCUCUCUAGCUUCACUUAUUAUCUGAGACACACUAGAUUUAGAGUGGUGUGGGUUGCCCCCUCGCACGGGGCGUCAUGCUGAGGGGCCACAAAAUAGGCAUGUCCAAAGUCCGUUUUGGGGGUCCAAUCCGGCCCACUGGUCAAUUUAAUCCAGCCCAUGUGACAGUAUAUGUCCUGGGGUAAAAUCCUUAAAAAAGCUCAAGAACUUUGGUUGGCCCUCACACAUGUUCACUUCAUCAAAUCUGGCACUCUUUGAAAAAAGUUUGGGCAUCCCUGGCCUAAUCUAACUGAGUCUGGAAAAACCCCUCCUCUGUUCUGUCUUAAGGCCAAAUUUUAUGUGCCAUCUGCCAUUUAGUUUGACAUUGCAUAUAUGAUUUUGUUAAAUAAAUGGCUGGUCCAGGAAGGCAGUGAGCCAAAUUAGGUUCAUGUAGGGGGAGGGGGCUUUAACACUUUGACCUCUACAUGCCUAGUAUUUCCAAUGAGAAGAACACUCUCGUGGUGACCAUUGGAGUUUUCUUCCCAUUACAAGGAGCGGGGGCAGGGGAUGGAGAGAUGGAAAUUCGGGGGUGGGGGAGUUCCAAUUCAGUUUACAUUUAAAGGCAAAUCAAAAACAACUUUCAAAAACAACAUGAAACCCAAAAUACAGCAAUCCUUCAAAAAUUCACAAGUACCCAAAUUUUGUCAUGCAGUGCUUCACCUGAGUGAUGUUUACAAAAACCCAUUUAUUAGGGGAACUUGUUCAUAAAAUUCAUGUAUUUGUGAAUAUAAAAUUCAAAAUGCAAUGUGUAUGGGGAAAUUGCUUGCAAAAAAUAGUCAAAACUGCAUACAAAACUAAAAAGAAAAGAAAAACCACACAAAAAUGUGGAUGAAUUUUCACAGGAUUUAUUUUUUUUUUAGAAAAUGCAAAUUGCUGCAGAACAAGAAAUUGCUGCAAACAAUUAAAAAAAAAAAAACCAAAAGAAAUUAACUCAAAGACUGAAAUAAAAUUUAAAACUCAAUGUGUUGUAUUCAACAUUAAUCAGACUCAGAGUAGAACCACUGAAAUAAACAGACACAUUCAUUGAUUCAGUGAGUUUACUAUGACUAAUGCUGGCUAUUAAAUUCGCACACUGAUUUCAGUGGGAACUUGUGCAGCUAGCUUGCUCUGAAUCCAACUCAAUAUCUGCACAUUGAGAAGUUUGUUUUUUCGGAGCCUAAAAUAUCUGAAGUAAGUGAAUUUGAACAAACAGGGGGCCAAUCAAAAAUAAUAAAAUAAGAACUUGCAGAAACAAGUUCUACUGAUCCUCACUUAAAAUGUGUUUUAAAACAAGAUGCCUUCUGAAAAUUGGUUUCUUAGACAGGUAUCUCGCAACUUACUUGCAUUUAACUUGUACACAUCUGGCUUUAUGCUCUUGGAAUUAUUGUUAUUAUUAUUAUUAUUAUUAUUAUUAUUUAAAAGAGGGUGGAAAGCGAGGGGGGAAUUGGCAAUCCCACCCUUCAUUGCACCUGAUGUGUUUUGACUGUAUACAAUUUUGGCUUUAGGCUCUAUCCCUGGAAUGUAAUCCCAGCGUAAGUUGAAAGUUGCCUGUACAUCAAAAGAAUGACUAGAAAGAAAUGUGUAAUUUAAAGAACUGCGUAUGUAUUACACACACACACACACACACACACACACACACACACACCUGCCCCAGUCAAGAGAUUGAGAAAAGGCUUUUCUCUUGUGCCUGUGCCCUGUACCUGUGAAUAAACUGCACCUAGCUGUAGACAGGCAUCUAUGACUGGUCUGUGUUGGAGGAGAUCCUUGCAAUGUCAGUCAAGAGGUUGUUCGUGCAUCACCAAAUUGCUAGAUCUGAUGUCUCCCAGGUGAUAUUUGAGCAACAGCAGUACAAAUCCACCCCAUGCAGAAAACAAGUCCAGUGCACAGAUUAUAUUCCUUCUAUUGAUGUACAACUGUAAAAUGAAUUGGGUGCGUAGUCUUGCAGUCAGUUUAUCUCCUAGGUUAUUUUUUUUCUGUACACAACACAGAUGGAAAUGCUACCACAAGCACAAGGUUUAACUAGGAUCCUUUUUUUUUUUUGUAAUGGAUGUUUGCAAGCAAUGUUAAUAUCCAUUACAAAACAGUACAGCAAAUAUUCAGCAAUUUCCUUAUUAAGAACAAUAUAAGCAAUAAGAUCACUUUGAUCACUUAGGUUUUAUAAAGUAGCCUGCAAAAACCAACAUAGCGCUUGUAAUAUCCAGGAUAAAAUUCAAAGACAGGGAUUAUCCCCUUUACUAAUUUUGUUAACUUGUUUACAUAUAUUCAAUCAUAAUUACAAGGUAUACAAAACAAUCUGCAAAAAUUCUAUUUAAUAAACUGAAGGAUAUUCAGCCUUUUUCCCUUUGCUUACUACUUACCAUUCUGUAGAAUGGGUAUUGUCUCUUACUAGGCUCUUAGUUGAACAUGAUCUCUCUGCUGAAAGGUUCGAGUGAAGUAGAAUGUAGUUCAACAUAGCCAUGCCUCGUUUACAUAAUAUUCAGCACAUGGUUAAUGAUUCAAGGAUUCCGGAAACUUGUUUGACUGAGAAGGAUGUGCAGGCAGUUCCACUGGAAUAGAAGGUAUUGCAAAAUCCAUUCUGAGUCGACUGGUGAAAUAAUGGAAAUAUAAUCCCUUCUAAUGCCCUGCUGAAAUCUUCCUGGUGCUCACUUUCCAAAAAACUUUUCUUUAGACAGCGUGUGCUGACGGGUCCUGUUCUUUAAAAAGGAAACCAAAACCAAUAUUUGAAUUCAACAGAUGUAUGCUGCUGCUUUCGAAAUGCCUAUGAGGGGUGGGAAAUGACUUUGUGACUGAGUCAUAAGAUGAAGUGCAACUUACUCAAAGGCUACUUGCUAACCACGCCUUGCUACGUCUCAAGUGCCUGGAUUUAAGCCUAUUUAAAGCCCAGUUAACAGAGUAAAAUCUAGCAAACCUCAAUGCUUUAGCUUGCCUUGAUUGUGUGUCAAGCUCAGUCUUGACUUGCCUGCCUGCUUAAUCACACUUGUUGUCGAAUCUCUCCAGCAGAUUUGAUUAGCCUAAUUUAUUGCACUUCCUCAUAGCUUCUCUGUGCCAGUGCUCCUUCUAUCCUCUCUGACUUCACCAAACAGUACAGUGGUACCUCGGGUUAAGUACUUAAUUCGUUCCGGAGGUCCGUUCUUAACCUGAAACUGUCCUUAACCUGAAGCACCACUUUAGCUAAUGGGGCCUCCUGCUGCUGCCACGCCACCGGAGCAUGAUUUCUGUUCUCAUCCUGAAGCAAAGUUCUUAACCUGAAGCACUAUUUCUGGGUUAGCGGAGUCUGUAACCUGAAGCGUAUGUAACCUGAAGCAUAUGUAUCCUGAAGCGUAUGUAACCCAAGGUACCACUGUAUAGUCAAAACAGGACACAGCUGUGCUAUAUAGCAUUGGGGUGGCAUGGGCUAAUGUAUGCGUGAGUGAUCAGCCUUUGAUGUUCGCUCCUGCAUGCGCAGAGCUUUUUUUUUUUUUUUUUUUUUUACAGAGCAUCCGACAUAGACCCCCCCCGGCAGCCUGAGCAGAAGCACUUCCACAUUCUAACUCAUCAAUUCUGCCAUCUUUUGCUGAAUGCUUCUAGGGCCCCUUUCCUAUGCAUGUGCUUUAUUUACAUGCAGAAGCAUGCAGAUUUAGUCCAUGCUGAAUCUCACUGGAGUCCUAAAAGCACUGGAGUUUCACUACCAGCCAGUGUUGGCAAUACAGGUUCUGCCUCUUACAUAGGGUCCUUCAUCAACUUUCCAUCACCUUCACCUGCAUGUUCACGCCUCUUUAACCCUGCAUAGAGGACCACACUCCACUGGUGGAGUGGGAGUCAUCACAAUACGUCAACUCCCUGUGCCCAGAAGUGGCUGGCGCAGUAGGGUGGUGCUGUCACAGCCCUUCCGUGAUGCUGCCUCUUACUAGGAUGAAGCAUGGCAAGGCAACCUGAGGUUGCGGGGGCGCUUUUGUAUGGGUUCACCAGCAGAGCAACCCCUCUGUUCCUGCUAGCAUGCCUGCACAGCCCCAAUCUCCUUGCCGCCCUGAACCACCUGCCAUUCCUGCCCAUGUCAACAGUCAGGGUGAGCGAUCCCAUACCAUAUGGGGAUGCCAUAACUUCCCUUCUCAGUGUUGGCCUAGAUUUAAGUGGGGAGGUGACUGCAGACAAAAGGGACCUCUGUGGAUGCUUGUGUCAGAGAUAGGGGAACUUGGAACGUCUCUGAUGUUAAUGGAGUGCAGCUCUGAUCAGGAAGAAUGAGAGUUGUAAUUCAACAAUACCAAGAGGGCGACAAGCUCCCCAUCCCUGCCCAGUAUUAUUCAGGGGAGAUUAAAGUAGAUUAAAGGAUUAGACUCCCAAUUGUACCUUAGCAAGCAGGACUUGCUGACAAUCAGAUGACAGCAAGCCCUUUGGGGAUCAACCACACAAGGGUGCCCCCAUUGGUCUUACUGGCGAUGAAAGGUCUUGCUGUCAGUGAUGAUCAGCUUUGCUAGUCUACGGAAGGAAAAUGUUCAUUUACAGGCGUGGUUUGAAUCCAAACAGUACCUGCAGUCAGGCAAAGCAUGGCUCACAGCGAGCCCCAGUGAAGGAGCACAUCAAUGCCAGUUGGCACACCUUCCAAAGGGCUUGCUGCUCAUUGCCAACGCUGAGCCCCUUUGAAGUUAUAACUUGCCAUCAUGAUGACAUCAGAUGAUAGCGGGGAGCCCCAGUCACUCAACACAAUGGUUCAUGCAGGAGGUCUGGCUCUUUUAAAGCAGAGAACCUAAUUGAAUAGUUCUCAAGUGUUUUUGAGCCUUCUCGGUAGUGGCACCCACCCUGAGAAAUCCCCUCCCAUCAGAUGUCAAAGAGAUGAGUAACUAUAUAACCUUUGAAAGACUUCUGAAUGCAGCCCUGUAUAGGGAAGUUUUUUAAGGUUCAAUGUUUUAUCAUGUUUUUAUAUACGUUAGAUUCUGCCCAGAGUGGCAACCUAGUCAAAUGGGCUAGUUACAAAUAAUAAAUUAUUGUUAUUCUUUAUUGAAAGAACAAAGGACUUCACGUACAUUGUCUUGUUGCAGUUUGCACAACAACCCUGUAAGGUAGAGAAGCAUUAUCAAUACAGUGGUACCUCAGGUUACAUACGCUUCAGGUUACAGACUCCACUAACCCAGAAAUAGUGCUUCAGGUUAAGAACUUUGCUUCAGGAUGAGAACAGAAAUCGUGCUCUGGCAGCGCAGCGGCAUCAGGAGGCCCCAUUAGCUAAUGUGGUGCUUCAUGUUAAGAACAGUUUCAGGUUAAGAACGGCCCUCCGGAACGAAUUAAGUACUUAACUUGAGGUACCACUGUAUCAUAUUGCAAAGGGGGGGGGUGUUCUAACACAGAAAGUAUGCCACCUAAUAAGUUACAUGAGUUUAAAGUCACAUAAUAACAUCAAUGGAAAGUUGAGUUUUGAAGCAGGGACGUCCUGAUCCAUGCCUGCAUGUCACAACAAUAACAUUACAUCACCUCUCAAUUAACUAAAUUAAUGCACUGAACAUGAAUCCAUGAGUUCCCAUCACUUUACACUGUGAAUGUCACCAACAGAGAUGCUAUCCCUCAAUUUUAUAUGCUGGCAGAAUAUUUUUCAUGUUGGCAUAUCAUGCAUAUCACUUUACGGACGUGAGUUUGCUUUCGAGUCCCAGACAUUUUCAGAUCAUUGCCUUUUGUGUUUAGCUUGUGUUCUGAUGAAAUAUUAUAUAGGAGCCGGCCAAAGCUAAGCACUCUUUAAGUCCUAUUGAUUUCCAUGUUUGCUUAAUUCUUCCACUGAAAUUAUUGGGACUUGAAAGUGCUUAGCUGUGUCCCCCCCCCCCCGAAAAGCUCAUUAGGGCUCGAUUUCACAUAAGCACACAAAAACAUCUUUGUUCGCACAGUGGCAGGAAAUUUCCUGCCACAUAUCAACUAGCACUCUGCAGGCGCUCCAUAACUUUUUUAUUGGAAUAAAGAGACAAGGAAAUGGUAAAAAGAUAAUUCUGAUUUCCCCGUGGAGCAUACUAUGGUCCUGGUAUUUGUACUUAGAGCACACUGUAGCACUUCCUUUGUACAGAAGGCAUAGCAGAUGCAUUCACAGAGCAAUAAUGGCUUUUAUUGUCCAUUAUCAGAAAGCAAAAAUGCAUAAAGCAUUCCCAACACUGUCCCUAGUAGCCCAGAACCUAAACAGAUGCUUUGAGACUGCUGACAACAGGACUGAGUACAUGGAGCUGCGUCAACACAAAAUUGCAUCACGUAAUUGACACAUUCAGUGGCUUCGUUCUCACAUCACUAAACUAUGGCUUAUUAAACCAUGGUUUAUUUAACCAUGGCUUAGCAUUAUGUGUGAAGCCAGCCCAGCAGCUUUAACUAUGAUUAUUAAACAUCCUUAAAGGUUGCUCAUUGGCCAAAGUUUCUAGUUGGUUUAUAAACUGUUGUUAUGGAAUUUACAUCCUACAACUCCUUCAGGAGCCCAGGAUGGCAAACACAUCAAUAAUAUUUUUUAUUUAUUUAUUUAUUUUUUACAAAACAGUUUAAACAUCCUAAAAACAGUUGCAGUUAGAAACCAGUGGUUUCAAGGUUGCCUGGAACAAUGUCUUUCAGUUAUCAAAUGCCUACAGAGUUGCAAGUGAAGACUGGCAAAAGAAAUAAUAACAAUCAAACAUUUUUCAAGGCUUGGCUGCCUUCACUGAUGCUUUUAACCAUUCUGUGAUGUAAUAAACCAAGGUUUAAGUCAGGCAUAGGCAAACUCGGCCCUCCAGAUGUUUUGGGACUACAACUCCCAUCAUCCCUAGCUAACAGGACCAGUGGUCAGGGAUGAUGGGAGUUGUAGUCCCAAAACAUCUGGAGGGCCGAGUUUGCCCACGCCUGGUUUAAGUGCUCAUCAGCCUGAUGUCUCAGCUUUAACUAUGGUUUAUUAACUAAGGAUAAGUUUAAUUGUGGUUUAGGGGUGUGAGAGAAUCAGAGCAGUGUAAAUACUUCUUUUUCAAAAAAUGCUAUUCCUUUUAUAACACAAAUAAACAACACAAACAGGAAAAAAACAAACAAUACAAACAAAUUCUUGUCUUAUCCUUAUUUUUUUCUAAACAUUGUUAGGUGAGCUUCCCCAAGUCCCCCCUAUCUGAUUUUCAUUUUACCUCAUCUUUAGCAGUUUACAUAUAUCGUAAUUUUAAACCAUUUUUUAAAUCACACUUACUUUUACCAUAAAAGUUUUAUUCCUUACAUAUAAUACUAUUUUAAAAUACACUAUCUUCUACUUCUAACCCUACAGCCUAUAUCAACUUCCAAAGCUAUUCUAAGAUUUAAGUAUUAACAUAUUUUUUUGAAAUAUUCUUUAAACUUCUUCCAAUCUUCUUCCACCAUCUCUUCUCUCUGGUCCCGGAGUCUCCCAGUCAGUUUGGCAAGUUCCAUAUAGUCCAUCAUCUUCAUCUGCCAUUCUUUGAUAGUUGGUAAAUCUUGUUUCUUCCAAUUCUUCGAUAGUAAUAUUCUCGCAGCUGUUGUGGCAUACAGAAAAAAAGUAACAUCCUUUUUGGGGAUUUCACACUCCCCCCCAUACCAAGUAAAAGGCUUCUGGAAGAGCAGUGUAAAUACUGAAGGGCCAAAUUACGAAUGGACUGGAAGGUGUUGUGCAGGGAAGCCAGAGCAGACCCUACCAUUCCCUUAUGGGGGAAGGCCAGAGUUGCAUGUGCCACAUAUUCUGCCAUGCACCCCUUAAACUAGGCUGCCACCCUCUCACCACUGUUGAAUAAGAGUUAACUUCCAAUCCACUUGUAUUCUCUAUGUGGAAUGAAGGGAGAGGCCAGCACCAGGAAUCAAAGUACUGUAUCUGCUUGUCCAUACCUUCCAAUACUUUGAAUCCAGAUUCCCAGAUGCCAUCUUCCUGAGCUCAAAGACUGGGUUGCUGUGAUCUCGUGCAAUUUCAUGCCUCAGUCCCCCUGCCCCUCAAGUGCUUUUGUUUGGGGUGUGUGUGUGUGGAAUUAGCACCAUGAAAUCACGUAAGAGAUCACAGCAACCCAAAUGGCUGCUGUUCUUUCGUGGUAAAAAAAUUGGGAUGUCCCAGUUUUUUCCAGGGUACUUGUGGGGUAUUCUUGUCUGAGCAUAUCUGAAGGGGGAUUUCUGGAUCACAGCCUUUAUAAGUUAAGAAAUUAUAUGGCAGAACUGAAAAAGAAGGAAAGAAACACUAAAAUAAAAAAAUAAUAGAAAAAAGAAAUGAAAUAUGUACAAAUUUACUUUGAGGGAAAUGCAGUUGAAUGCUUUUAGUUUGCAGAGGACAGCAGAUGAAAUAUAUGUUCAGAGUUCAUGUAUUAAUUUCGGUCCUCUUUCUUUCAAAGAUAUCCUUUGAGUAAAUACACAUUUAAAUUCAGAACCACAUUCAGUUAAUGGUUUGUUUUUCCUUUGAAGAAUACUUUUAAUGACUGAAAUGGCAUUGUGUGAAACAAAUAAUCCUGUGACAAUAGCUAUCCCCCAUUAUAGCAUAAUUAAGGUCAUUAACAGGCCAAGCUAUGUGGCCUUGAGUGAGGUUUUUCUUCUAACUUAAUAGACCCGAUUAAUUCAGGAGAUAAUUUAUCUAGCGGGGUAAUUUUUCUUCUAUUAUGCUCUUUUUGAAGACUAUUCAUAAAGACCAUGUGUUUAAAACUGAUUAUUGAUUUUGAAUUGCUAAGGAGAUUGAGCUAGUAACACAUACUAAUAUUAAGGAGGAACAUGGAAAAUCUAGUUCUUUGAUUCUGUUUAUCUUAGUCAAGUUAAUGUUAUAAAUUAUUAUGUCAUCAAAGUUGUUUUCAUCACUUUCGCCAUGCCAUAGCAAAUGAUCUUAACGAGGAUGAGAUUUGGGAAAUUCACCAGGGCGUUCUGAUUUUCCAAUAAAUGUUAGCCAUGUUUGGAAACUCUUUAACUUGUUUUUAUCCUGUAUUUAUUUUAAUAGUCCUGAGAUCCUAUGAAGAAGGGUGUGAUGGCCUGGGAAUCGGAUUCAGGGGCUGAACCUGAG